UCUACUCACUAACCUUAGAACAACAGGGUUUAUUGACUGGAAGCAGCCGAUCAUGUUGGCUUUGAAAAGGAGUUUGCCCAGAGGGUUUUUUUACUUUCAUGAGUGCAGAGAGUUUUGUGACUUCAGUAAAAUGAUGUAUGAUCCCAGAAACAAGGGUUUCAAGAGCAAAGGGAAGGCUGGCAGCACUGUCACUCGGUUGUGCACAGGAAGCAAAGCAGCACCAGUGUAUUCCGUGGAGCAUUCAUCAGCUCUGCUGAGUUAUUCACCCCGCGCUAAGCAGUGAAUCCUUUCUCUCCGAGAUCCGAGCUGGAAACAGGCUUGUUUCACUGGGCGGAAAUGCCUCUCUGCAGCCUGGGCACCCAACGCGCCAUCGAACCUGCCCCCCCUUCCGUUCCGAGAGCGGAUCUGAAAACAGCAGGGUUAUGAGAACCUCAUGGCUGCGGCACAAACAUAACAGGGUUAUGGGAAUCUGUUAGUUGAGACACAAGCAAACAAAUGGGGGAAGCUAGACAAUUUGUCCCUGAUCUCGUCACACGGUCCCUCUGCUAGUGACUGGGGCUCUGGGAAAGCAGCAAGUCGCUCUGCCUCUGGGUCACAGCCCCAGCCUCGGGUGUGAGGGUCUGUCAGGUUGUGUUAGUAACACGCUGACACUAUCUUGGUGGAGCUGCUGGCCACUGCUAUCCUUGGUUUGAAGGGGCAGACAGCUGAGUGCUGCUGCACUAAUGUUGGGACACAGGGCUGAGCUCCCAUUUGUGGCUGGUUCCUGAGCAGCCAUGGCUGGCUCCUGGCUGAGGCCCUCACGCUCAGCUCUGGGCCCCGCAGUACCAGGAACAGGUUGACCAAGAGGAGCCACCAAACACUCAGGGGGCCGGAGGGGCAGCGUUAUUUGGAAGAGCUGAAUCGGCCUAGCUCGGCCCCAGGGAGGCCUGAUAAGGGCCUAGCACUUACCAGCGACUGGAGGAGGCCCCAGGGUUAGUAACCAGGAGCAAAUAUUAGGACAGAAAAGAGUUAGGCUGAUUAUCAGGACCAGCCUGGCUGCUGGUGGGGUGGAGGAUAUGGAGCUCCCUGCCCAGGGGAGGCUGGGAGCUCUAUCAAUUGGGGCAUUUCACACUGGACUCCACCACACCUGAGCUAGUGUACAAGUGGGGCUGAUCCUACCCUGGCCCACGGGGGCGCAGCAGCUGGGCUGUCUGAUGGGGUCACAGCAGGGCCCUGGCUUCACUCACUCUCCCCUCUGUCCGAUUUCACUCCAUGUCCUUUCCCCUUCCAGGCGGGACGUCCUGGAUCUUGUCGCAGGGAAGCGGAACCGGCUCCAACUUCACGGGCAUUUUAGGGUCUGAUCCAGAGUCCAUUGGAAUCAAUGGAAAGACUCCCAAUGACUUUCGUGGGCUUUGGAUCAAGCCUCUAAUGACCAUGGUUUGGGCCAGGAGGAGCUUCAUUAACUAAACCCAACAGCGAGCAGGUGCCGGCUUGUCCGUAGGCCACCUGGGGAAGUAUUCGUAAGCACAAAAUGCUGGAAAAAAAAGGGAGCUUUAAAAUGACAUCCCCAGCAUGGUCCAUGCACCAGCAGCCUUGCCAAGGACUCUCUAGCUCAGGGUUUUAUACUGCUGCCCAUCCCCAUAGUAUCUGGGCUCUCACAGUGGGGAAUUAGCUGAUAUUAAGCAUUUCCACUCAUAUACAGGAUCUCGCACAUUUCUCUGAUGAUAGUUAAUUAUUACAGCUCUGCUUCUUGCUGAGGUCAGAAUGCUGAGCUUGUGACAUCACAGUCUUUCCUAUAGCAACAAGCUGAUGUUAUAAAGAGAGGAUUGAGCUUACAGCAGGUUCAGACAGAGGGAGAAGCCCAGGACAGAGGAAGCCCUUCUUUAAAGGCAAUACCUGCCCAGGCAAUAUGGGAUGAGAGCAGCAGUGAAUGUUCCUGGUUGUAUAACAAGUUCUUGGUCUGUAUUUGCUCCAGCAGGUGAGUGACUAACACCAGCAGCACGCAGCCCUGCCAGCUGAUUCUGAUCAGGGGUGACGCAGAUGCAAGAGAACCAGGCAGAGAAACUGGAUUAAUCUAAAUCCAAAAGGCCAUGCUGACAGAAGCCACAGACUGUUGAAAUGAUGCUUGUUAAAAUGAGAUGAUGUGGACCAGCAGUUGAAAUGAAAUUAGUGUGAUGGCUCUUAGGCCCAGAGGGAGGACAAACUAAUGAGGGAAACAGGCUAUUCCACCCCCCAUUCCCUGUAUGGGUCCUUAGAGAAAGGGACUUUGGGAGGGGAAGAACAGAAGGAACAGCCGGCGGCUACCAGCGCAAGCUUCACCCUGGUGGCUGCCACCCCACUGUUUCCUGGCGCCCAGGGCCUUUAUCAUCCUGCUCCAGAGAGAAGUCCUGAGACCAGAGCAGGCCAGUGCGAGGGGCCCAGAUGACAUGGCCACCCGACCGGCUCCAGCUGAAUCCCAACCUCCACCUGGGACGACCGUUACCACCAUCUUUGAUACUAUCUGAAAGGCUGUCAAACCUGGGGGAUUUUCCUAAAACCGAUGCAGCAACAGCUCCUGCCCUUCUCAACCAGCGCGCUCUCUUCAGAAAAGGACACACCCCCAUCUUCAACACUGCCUCAGAGACUGUCAAGCAACAGGGGUUUCCCUUUAAAACUCUCUCCAGCUGAAGGGAAAGGCAACAAGGGAUGCUGUACAGUGACAGCUUGACUUCAUACUUUAUA